GCCUGUUUUUACAAAAACAUCGCUCUCUGUAGUUCGUAAAUAGAGAGUCGGACCUGCCCAGUGAAUUUUUAACGGCCGCGGUACUCUGACCGUGCAAAGGUAGCAUAAUAAUUUGCCUUAUAAUUGAAGGCUGGUAUGAAUGGUUUGACGAGAAUAAAGCUGUCUCUUUGUAAUUCGCUAGAAAUUUAUUUACAGAUGAAAAAGUCUGUAUACUAUUAAAAGACAAGAAGACCCUAUCGAGCUUUAAAAAAUUUAAUAGAUUAUAAAUAAGCCAAUAACCCUAAAAGGCUGUCUAUUAAAAAUUUUAGUUGGGGCGACUGAGGAACAAAUAAAGCUUCCUUAAAUGUGUGUUUUAUAUUGCUUCUUAGCCUUGAUCCAGAAAUUUCUGAUUAAUAAAAUUAGUUACCGUAGGGAUAACAGCAUUAUCUUUUUUGAGAGCUCUUAUCGAAAAAAAGGUUUGUGACCUCGAUGUUGGACCAGAAUGUCCUAAAGAUGCAGAAGUCUUUAAGGGUUGGUCUGUUCGACCAUUAAUAUUCUACGUGAUCUGAGUUCA
rnacentral:rRNA from 1 species